AAUUUUCCUCUUAUGCGAAGAGAUUAAUUCUCAAGGCAAAAGUGUAUUGUAGGACCAAGACAAAAGCAGACAGCAAGUUGAAUUCAAUAAUAUAAUGUCCCUCUCUGUAGGGUCUGCGUUUGUAUCAAUCUGUGCAGCUGAUAAUAGCCAAGGGCAAAGAUGCUUGUUAGCGCAGAAGGUGUGAACAAAUCGACUGAGCAGACUGGUCUACAAUGAAAUAAUGCUCUGACUGCACUGCCCUCAUGGUUCCAAGUCCUCGUGAAAAGCUUCAUCAGCAUUCCACUUGAUAUGAUUAGUAGAUCUAGGCUCAUCACUUUCUUCAUUUAUAAUGUUGUGUUUUUAUACCUGCUUUGAAAGAUUCACUAAAUUCACUAAUUAUUUUUUUGUUUUUUUUUGGCAGCUAUUCCCAACCUACUUUUAACUACAUCUGCUCCUGACAUUCCUGAAUCCUCCAAAAGUACUAAGCUGUUCCAGAUUUACUUGAAGAUGUUCCUCAGAGUUCACCAUUUCAAGAAAGCUCAGAAGUUGAAGAAAGGGUUACAGGAGCAAUUACGUUUCCCGAACAGUGCAGUGUGUUAUCGGAGGUUAAUGAGGCGGAACAUAGUAGAUUACAAGAACCCAAACUUUCUACUUGCAGUUCAUUGAACUCUUAUCAAAUCACAAGGGUUCAUCAUCUUGAAUCCACUCCUGCUUUAUGUCAAUCUGGACCUUCUCAUGAACCUAGUAUUUUAACAAGUAGUCAAUCUAGUCAUUAUGGGCCUCAACAGAUAUAUACAGAGUACACACAAGUCACUGUAAUUUCAGAGAGAUUUGAAAGAGACGAGCAGUUGCUUCAGAAGCAAUCUUCAGAAAUUGAAGAUCUGAAAAUUGCCUUAAAGGAAGCCAACUCCAGACUGGAGAAAUUGUCCUUAGAUGUAACUUUUUUAAAAUCGAAAGAAGAAGAGCUUCUAAUUGAAAAGAAACGUUUAGGCAAAACAUUAAAUGUGAAAGAGAAAAAAAUCAGUAGUUUGUCAAACCAAUUAAGAAUCAAGUGUAGGCAACUGAAGG
rnacentral:lncRNA from 1 species